UACAGAGGUCUCAACCGUUGUUCGGAUUCAUUGGGCGUAAAGGGUGCGUAGGCGGUCGCGUAAGUCGGAUGUGAAAUCUCAGGGCUCAACCCUGAAACUGCAUUCGAUACUGCGUGGCUAGGGUACUGGAGAGGAGACUGGAAUUUACGGUGUAGCAGUGAAAUGCGUAGAUAUCGUAAGGAAGACCAGUGGCGAAGGCGAGUCUCUGGACAGUUACCUACGCUGAGGCACGAAGGCCAGGGGAGCAAACGGG
rnacentral:rRNA from 1 species